UGGGGAAUUUUGGGCAAUGGGCGAAAGCCUGAUCCAGCAAUGCCGCGUGUGUGAAGAAGGCCUUCGGGUUGUAAAGCACUUUUGUCCGGAAAGAAAUCCUCUGGGUUAAUACCUCGGGGGGAUGACGGUACCGGAAGAAUAAGCACCGGCUAACUACGUGCCAGCAGCCGCGGUAAUACGUAGGGUGCAAGCGUUAAUCGGAAUUACUGGGCGUAAAGCGUGCGCAGGCGGUUUGCUAAGACCGAUGUGAAAUCCCCGGGCUCAACCUGGGAACUGCAUUGGUGACUGGCAGGCUAGAGUAUGGCAGAGGGGGGUAGAAUUCCACGUGUAGCAGUGAAAUGCGUAGAGAUGUGGAGGAAUACCGAUGGCGAAGGCAGCCCCCUGGGCCAAUACUGACGCUCAUGCACGAAAGCGUGGGGAGCAAACAGGAUUAGAUACCCUGGUAGUCCACGCCCUAAACGAUGUCAACUAGUUGUUGGGGAUUCAUUUCCUUAGUAACGUAGCUAACGCGUGAAGUUGACCGCCUGGGGAGUACGGUCGCAAGAUUAAAACUCAAAUGAAUUGACGGGGUCAUAGCUG
rnacentral:rRNA from 1 species